GCAUGGUAGUCGAGUGGGUAAGGCUCUUAUAGCUAUUUGCUCAGUACCGAAUAUCGAUGGUUCGAAUCCAUCCCGUAGCA
rnacentral:tRNA from 1 species